UACAGAGGUCUCAACCGUUGUUCGGAUUCAUUGGGCGUAAAGGGUGCGUAGGCGGUCGCGCAAGUCGGAUGUGAAAUCUUGGGGCUCAACCCCGAAACUGCAUUCGAUACUGCGUGGCUCGAGUACUGGAGAGGAGACUGGAAUUUACGGUGUAGCAGUGAAAUGCGUAGAUAUCGUAAGGAAGACCAGUGGCGAAGGCGAGUCUCUGGACAGUUACUGACGCUGAGGCACGAAGGCCAGGGGGAGCAAACGGGG
rnacentral:rRNA from 1 species